rnacentral:rRNA from 1 species
UUACGGCUCAGUAACACGUAGAUAAUUUGCCUUUAGGUGGAGGAUACCCUCGGGAAACUGAGAAUAAUACCCCAUAGAUCUAGACUGCUGGAAUGCUUUUAGAUUGAAAGAUUUAUCGCCUAAGGAUAAGUCUGCGGACUAUCAGGUUGUAGUUAGGGUAAAUACCUGACUAGCCUACGACGGAUACGGGUAGUGAGAGCUUUAGCCCGGAGAUGAUAUCUGAGACACGAUAUCAGGCCCUACGGGGCGCAGCAGGCGCGAAAACUUCGCACUGUGCGAAAGCACGACGAGGGAAUCCCAAGUGCUGGCUCGUAAGAGUCAGCUGUUUCUCUGUCUAAAAAACAGGGAGAGUAAGAGCUGGGUAAGACGGGUGCCAGCCGCCGCGGUAAUACCUGCAGCUCAAGUGGUGGCCGCUAUUAUUGGGCCUAAAACGUCCGUAGCCGGUCUCAUAAAUGCCUGGGUAAAUCGUACGGCUUAACCGUACGAAUUCCGGGUAGACUGUUUAACUUGAGACCGGGAGAGGCUAGAGGUACUCCUGGGGUAGAGGUGAAAUUCUGUAAUCCUAGGGGGACCACCAGUGGCGAAGGCGUCUAGCUAGAACGGGUCUGACGGUGAGGGGCGAAGCCCUGGGGAGCAAACGGGAUUAGAUACCCCGGUAGUCCAGGGUGUAAACGCUGCUCGCUUGAUGUUAGUCGGGCUCCGAGCCCAACUAGUGUCGGAGAGAAGUUGUUAAGCGA